UUGUGAUGUUGGCAGUUGACACUUUCUUCCACAAAGUUAGGAAAAUCAGAACUAUAACAAUAUAUCUUCAAGCUUCAAACUCAUGUGUUUUAUAUUCAAGCCUGAUAUCAUAUCACACUAAUUAGCCGCAGAGUGAGAUAUCAUUUCGAGGGCUCAAAGCGAAGAAUCUCAUCAGCUUCAAAAAUUGUGGCGGUGAAGAAGACCAAGAAGACACAUGAAAGCAUCAACACCAGGCUCGCUCUGGUGAUGACGAGUGGCAAGUACACUCUGGGGGUACAAGACAGUCGUAACUCCAAAAGGAAGUGAAUUAUAAUUUCAAACAACUGCCCUCCUCUACGAAAGUCCGAAAUCGAAUACUACACUAUGCUUGCUA